rnacentral:tRNA from 1 species
CGCCUGGUGGUGUAACGGAAGCACAUCGUUCUGAUACGACGGGAGCGGUGGUUCAACUCCACCCUGGGCGA